rnacentral:lncRNA from 1 species
GUUAGAGAAGACGAACACCUCGAAGUCUGGCUGGAACUCCGAAUCCCGAUGAAGAUUAACGCGUUCAGAGCAGAAACAUCCAGAAGAACAACAACAACAAAACAAGCGUCGACUGUUCGCCUUGGAGGAGGAAGAGUGAUCAAAACGUUCUGAGCUCCCCCACCGCGUCUCUGAGGCUGUGCGCCGUUAGAUCAGCAGGACUGAGGACGAGACCGAGACCGGACCUUUAGACGCUCCGAGGAGGGGGGGGGGGGGGGCAGGAGGCGGGUCUUCCGACGCUCAGCCAUUCACCUGUUUCUCGCAGGACGAUAUCAGUCAGAGAUCAAGAUCGUCCAGGAAUAGUUCUGCUGACUGAAUGAUAAUGACGUAAUUUGGGUUGAUUCUGACUGAGUGUACAUUACAUCUUGUGGGCUGGGUUCCUGUCUUUACGCACAGCGCGCGUGAUAGGGACAGGGACGUGACAGACAGAUACACCCCGGGUCGAGUGACAGUUGACGGACAGAUACACCCCGGGUUACUGUCAGCUGUCCGUCAACAGAUAUGUCAGCGCGAAGGGUGCGGACGAACCAACCUGGCCGUCUGGGACAUAGCCAGGACCAUUUACCUUAUCGUGGGAGACACUGCAUCUGUUAUUUUGUUAUUCACGCUUUCUUCUCUAUAAUACUCGCUCCAAACCUUUGAUUCAAGAAGAAGAGGGAUCGACAGCCAAGGAGCACGUCUGGAGACUGCUCCUCGAUCGCCGGCCCUGCUACACUAUAGAUUAUUCAACCUAAAUCUAUAUCUUGUUGUAUUCAUCCUGGAAUAAACCAUCUAUUCGAUCCUCUGAUCCAACCUUUCAAGCUGCCUUGAUUUCCACUUCAAGAAUUACUACUAGGCCUACAAGAAUAUACACGAUGCAGAGUCUAUACGAACAGUUUGGAAAUAAGCAAAAAAUAUCUAACACUAUUUAACAACGACACUUUCAGUGACCUUCAAGGUGUCCAUUUUUUUCUGCGGGGCUUCCGUCCAGUUCCUCCCUGACAGCUCCGAGUUCAGUGAUGAUGACCAGCAGGAGACUCCCGGUCGGGUUCCAGUAGGAGGUCGUGACCCCUCCGUCUGAACUGGAGUCACUGAACUUCAUCCGAUGGUUCACAAUGUGUCACCAUAAAAUGAGAUUCAUAUUCUCGUUAUUUUCUCCUGUAUUCCCCCCUAACCCUUAUCUCAUAGUGCCUCGGUAGGCUAUUAUAGAACUAUCCAUAUUCUCUCAAUGUAUUGAUUCCUUUGUAAUUUACCGAAGUAGGAUGUUUCAGUUUUGAGUAAAUUUCAGAUGCAUAAUUAAUUUACUGAAACAUUAACUCAAUGAAAUGGAUGUUUUAUGCCGGCAUUCAAAAGAUAAAUAAUAAUAACUCAUACUGCAGUGAACUCAGUAGGGGUCGCUGUUCACCUAGUUUACAAUCAGAAACUUUGAAAACGCAACAUGUUUUUAACUCCAGCAUGUAAUUAU